rnacentral:misc_RNA from 1 species
GUGGACAUAUCUGUUGAUGGGGGCAAGACAUGGCUAGAAGCUCAAAAAUAUCAAAUGGACGACAGGUCUUAUGUACCGGAUGAUGGCGACAAGUGGGCAUGGGUUCUCUUUAAGACUGUGGUCGACAUAUCCGAAAAUGCUGAAAUCAUUGCUAAAGCGGUUGAUUCCGCAGCAAAUGUCCAACCAGAGAAUGUCGAUUCCAUAUGGAACUUGCGGGGAGUACUGAACACAUCAUGGCAUCGCGUCCGUGUACAAAAUGCCUCCCGAGUACCGAAAUCUAAUCUCUGAAGGAAAGAUAAUACAUCAAGUUCGUGAUCAUGUCAUUGAAGUUGAAUCUUGUCGCGUAGACGUUACAGGUUCCUUGUUAAGCUUCUCUUAUAUCUAGUAGAUCAUAUAAAUCGACUCAACCGGUGUGUUAUCUGCCUUCCAAUUUAUAAGACAUUGACUAAAAUGUGGGGUAAAUAUUUCAAUUAUGCAAACAAGC